rnacentral:lncRNA from 1 species
AAUAUUAUAAAUGUCACAGUAUUAAGGAGAUCAAAUGAAAGGACAAAGACCCCCAGAAAGAAAGAGUAAAAAAGCAUAAAACAACAAUCAAAGCCAUAUCCCUACUGUUAUUCUUAACACAACAAACUCACAGGAAGGAAACGAAUACUAAUGUCUAAGGAACUUGGCAACAUGCUCUAAUGCCUAACAAGAUAGGGAUCAAUGUCAUUGGCUCAUUGCAACAUAAUUGGACAAGGAAUUGAUGCAGAUGAUUCCCUCCUAUUCCUAAAAUGAGCUCCAGAGGCAUCUUUUUCUACAAGAGACAAACCAAUAAUCACCAAAACCAUACACAUAUGUCACGAUCAAGGAAGUAGGAACAACAUAUAUAAACACAAAUAAGAACAGUAGCAAUACAUAAUCAAAAGUAGGCUUUUAGAACCUCUCUAAAUUAAAUUAAAACUCCUGCUAUUUAUUGGAAUAUGAGGCGCAGUACCAAAAUCACAAUAUUUCAAUUUAGUUAAAGAGAUUUAUAUAAUAACUUCCAGUAUUAAACGUUUUUCUUUUUUAGAUCACAUUUGCCAGUACACAGUUUAACAAAAGAGACUUUGCUGCUUGAAUUCUUUCAAAAGAAGCCAUUCAAAAAAUUUGUUGCAAGAUGAUGACCAAUUACAUGUGUCCAAAGUAGGACUUCAUAGUUCUCUAACACAAAGAAAGGAUAAAUAUUCAUCUGAUGUUAAGAAAUAACAUGCUCACUCAACCUUUAUUCAAGACCAUUACACUAAUGUAGAGACUAAAUCCUAUUUGUAUGCAUGCUGAACUACUGUGGUAUGUGACAAACAAGUUGACUUGAUCAAUGUAUUUAGACAAAUCAUCUUCAUCUAUCUUGGUUCCAAGAGAAAUUCGUCUUUUGUUUUCAAAGGCUAAUGAUAUGAUUGAACUGUGUAAAAAAAAGAAGAAAAAAAAAAGAGAAUUUUGAAACUGAACAUGCUGGGAAAUAUGAUAUUUAACUGCAUUUUACCUUUUAGAUUAUUUUGAUCACUUCAUUCUAUUCUAAUGAAUUAUCAACUAUUGCUCCCAUAUGUAGCCAUGAAUUACUUCGAUAAAUUCUUAAUCAAAGAAACUGUCAAAGUAGUUCUGUUAUGAAGCAGCCCAUAGACAGCACAGACCAAGACAAGGAAUUAUCAGACAAAGAGAGCACCAGGCCACAAUACCUGAAGGAUUUCAUAACUAACUCUGACAAGGGUUGCUGAGCUAGGGAAUAUCCUGUCUGCUAUAGAGGCAUCUUUCUGUUAGGAUAAUCCCACAAUCCG